UUGAAUUUUUCAGCCAAAUAGUUUGUUCUAUGAAAGAGUUGAAAUAUCCUACCCCCUCAGUUCAAGGCUUCCUUUGCUAUCUUCCUUUUCUUGUGUUCUUAGAGUAUUUCUCUGUCUUGUAAAGCAGUAAGUUCCGAUGACAGAGUGCUCUCUGUGAAGCCUGAGUGGCCAUAAUAAUAGUGGUAUUAUUGUUUUGUCCAUAUAUGAACUUCUUUCUCACAUGGAAAGAACUGUUUGCUUUGGUUUUAUAUCCUGUGGUGUAUCUGAUGAAUCUAAACAGUUCCCAGAAGAGUCUUUGUGAGAGCUCAAUAGAAGGAUUACACACGUGCUUGGAUUUUGCAGCUGUAAAUGCUUUUUGGUAGUGUCAGUGCUUUGGACUGAUAAGUGUAUUGAUGACUGCUGUGAAAAUGUCAUGUUCUCUUAUCUUGCAACUAUAGUGAUGGGCAGAAUCUGGCAUUGUAUUUGGGUUGGUGCAACCUAGAUAACUCUUACAAAUCCAUUUUCAUGUGGUCCAUGACAUGUAUGAUCCUUGGCAGGCUUGGAUAGCUCUUGCUUGUGUCUGACUACUGCAAGGUGCUGUAUUUCUCUUUUUGUCCCUUACCACCCCUCCGGCUGCUGUGGUUCUUAUGAGGAUGGUGGUGGUUUGGAGCAGGUGGAUGUAGUAUGACUCCAACAGUAUUUUCAGGGAUGGGAUGCUGCUUACUUUUCUGGAAAGUGCUUGGCAUGCUUCUGGUGCUGCUGUGGUGAGUUAUUCUGGAGAGAGGAAAUGUUUUGAAGGAGCAUGUAAGAGGUUUGUGACUUGAGAGCUCUUUGCUUGCUAUGUAUGAUUAAAGGAAGUGCAGAAAUGCAUAGGAAAUGAAGUAUUCCUAACAAAUUCUAGAAAGGUUUUGCCUAUGUACUUUGUAGAUAAAAAGACAGUUUAUUUGCAGUCAUUUAAAUUCAGACCUACCAAAAUGCUCAAGACAGUGAAUUAGAAGUCUGUUUCAGAUUUCUUUUGUGAUUUCUUUUGUGAGGAGUAGUCUCUCUUUAGUUCUGAUCCAGUGCCAGCUAUAGCCCUAUGGAUGACUCCCAGCAAUUACUGCUGAGUCUUAAUUACUUUUGGUGAGACUGAUAACAGGUCUGCUAAAGAAAGUUAAAUCCAUCAGAAAUGCCUGCAAUUUGCCUUCAAACACUGCCAAUUGCUUUAUUUUUGGCAACAUUCUGGCAGGAAAUAACUCCUCAAAAUGCAUGUUUACAGUGUUUAAAGAUGUCUUUUGGCAUGCCAGUAGAUUUCUCAACACCCCAUCAGAAAUGAUGUUGUAUAUUUAGGUUUUUCUGUACUACAGGCCCUUUUGGUGAAGAGGGGUGACUUGAUAAGUACAUGUGUAAUACUCGAUUUAUGGGUUAUGUAUGUAUGUGUUUGUGCUUAUUAAGGCAUGUGAUGACUGUGCUGCCACAAGCAGUCAGUUAUUUUGUAGAGUUCAGGGUAGGCACUAAAUUAUACCUUAAACAUUAGUGCAAGGUUAGUACAUUCUCAAGACAUAAAAUUACCCCAAAUUUCUGUUCUGUAAUACAAUGCAGUUUCAUACAUGAUGUUUAGAGUUACUGCUUGGCAAAGACAAGAGUUCUCCAGCUUUUAUUUGUUUACAAUUUAAACUAAAAAUGGUUGUGCAUACAUAAAUUACUGCUUCCUAAUACAAAUAACAGUAGUGCUUUAUGUGUUCUUUCAUUAUGGCAAAGAACAAACUCCUAAGAGAGAUCAAGUAACUCUGCGAGAGACAGGAGUGCAUCCACUGUCAUUAGCUGUGCACGGUGCCUUUAAUUGGUUAUCUGGUGGUUGAAUAACUAUUCAUUUUAGCUUUUGAAGAAUCUCGCUCAGCAAACUGGCUUUGGUGUGCAUGUUCCAGUAUUUAUCAGUAUACUGGGACUUGUGAGAUGUUUUAUGGCAGAAUGAUGAAAUUUCCGUGACAGCAUUGAAGACAUGGAGAGAAAGACAGUAUGAGCAGUUACAUGCAACCCUAACAGUCUCCUUUCAAUGGAAGUCAACUAUAUCCUUGAAUGGAAUUCAAGAUCAUGGUAUGUCUCUGUAUUAGGCACCCAGGAGUAAGGUGGUUUAUUUGGGAUGUAGCUGUGAGGACAGUCAGUCAUUAUGCAUUUAUGAAUAAAACUGAGACACUUAUUCUUGCA